GGCAAUCUUAAAUUUUCAAAGCAUUUUAAUUUCAGCAAAAGCCAAAGAAUGAUAAACUGCUUAACUGCAUGUAUUCUAAAAAAUUAAUUUAUAUGAAUCAAUUUACUCAAUUUGGAUACACAUUUCUCCAGUUUGGAACAAUAACCAUCUCAUAAAGACAAUAGAAGAGAACAUAGUUGUUUUACAUUAUUUAAAAAAAAAAUGAAAGUAUCGUAAUUUAUGACAACAAGCAAGUUUGUCAUUUUUUGGUUUUGUAAUGUCAACUGAACUUGAAAAAGGUUGUGGUGGUUUUAUCAGAAGCCAAGAAAAUUUAUUAUGGAAACGAAAUUGCAAGUGACUUAAAACAUUUGGGUAUUUCAUUCAGGAUUCAGUGUUUUCUUAAUUUAACCUCACGUUUCUUUUGGUAUUAAUUUAAAGUAAUAUUUCCAUUUAUUUAAAUUAUUAAAAAGAACAGUGAUGAACAUUUUGCCUAC